GCGAACGGUAGGUGGCGACAACGAACAAUGUUCUCGCAAGAGAAAUAGAGGGAGCAACGUUUGCGCGACAGAAAUGGAGCCAACGAAGAUGGAGACUACAUCAGGCACUUGCGCGAGAGAAAUGGAGGCCACAAACCAACAGCUUCGCUAGAGAGAGAGAAUGGUUACACGAGGAAGAAAAAGGAAUGUUAGGUUAAAAUUUCUUACAACGACGGCCAAUGGUGGAGGAAGCGGCGAAACCUAGUGAUGGAGGCAGCGGUGGCGACCAACGGCGGUAGCCAGUGGUGGAGGUAGAGGCAGUGGAGCGGCAAGGAAACACUGUUUGCGCGAGAUAGGAAGCUAUAAUUCGCGUUCGCUCUUUGUUGGAAGAAGAAGAAGAGUGAAAAUGUGCUUACUGUGUUAUGGUUCUAGAAUAUAACCAUCGAAGAGGCUAUUACCUCGGUUAUAAAUAAAACUGAUGCAUAAACCUUCCAGAAAAAAUUCAAAAUAAAAUUGUAAAUAAAAAAUUUGAAAAUAUCUACUAACUAUGGGCCUCAGUUCGCGGUUAAAC
rnacentral:lncRNA from 1 species